rnacentral:pre_miRNA from 1 species
AAAGUACUCCCUCUGUCCAAAAAUACUUGUCAUCAAAAUGGAUAAAAAAGAUGUAUCUAGAACUAAUAUACAUUUAGAUACAUCCCUUUUAUUCAUUUUGAUGACAAGUAUUUCCGGACGGAGGGAGUAUUAC